AUUGACAGACACUUUCAUAACAAUAUGAUCAGUAUUUACCAUAUUUUGAUCGUAUUAAUCAUUUCCAGGACUUAUUUCUUCAGCGUAUUGAUUUCUUUUUACAUAUAAAACACACUUCUGGCUUCUGGCAACAAAUUUGUGUUCAUACUUCCCGAAACAAACGCUUGUGUUUUUUCGAAUCAUGGCAGAUUCGGUAACAAACAACAAAGACGACUAUUUUUGGACAAAUAUCCAUUCACAAACCCUAUUUUUUUUAAGCUGAAUAUACGAAGGAUGAACUAGUGAGACAUUUGAGCAGACGGAAGCCGAGAGAGUGAAGUGAAAGUGACACGAAGCUGUAAAUGUGGAAUUAGGAGACAAGAUGUUUCGACAUAAAUGGAGUGCUUACCCAAAUAAACUGGAAAAACAUUACACUUUAUAUUGAUCAUGAUACACGCAGCACGCCAUGCCUGUUAAAACAACUACAAUACAUAAACUUUAUGGCUAGCUGUGUACAAACAAAACAUGAAAUAUUGCUUUACAGAUACUUUUAUAUGAUUCUUCAUGUUUUUCCUCAGUACAGAUUGGUGUCCUUUCACAUUGUUGUGCAUUACAAUUUUAAACACAAUCCGUGCUGACGUAGGAGCUAGCUUAUCUCUUGCCGUAGUUAGCUUUUUUGGCUAAUGCCGAAGCACGCCGGUGUGUUGCUACGCUAGCAAAAUAGUUCCUCAGUGUUCGCUCUUACAAUAACAAUGUCGCCAAAGUCUGGUUAUUCUACAGGUUACAGAACGUAAAUGAAGUAUUGUUGACAGUUUUUGAAUGCUUUUUGAAAGUGAUUUAGCUUACCACCGAGAUUGAGGCGAUUUUUAAGUUAGAAUACAAAAAAAAAAAAAAAAUGUUCUUCUUGUCUGUCAUGAUGAUUGUGAAAGAUCGGCAAUAUUCCAAAAUAAAGUGCACUUCCCCUUUAAAUAUUCUAGAAUACAUUUUCUGACUAGUGAUGUCAUCCAGCCCCCCCCCACAAAAGUUUUUAUGUUAUUAACGGGGUAAAAUGUUUUCAUUAAAUAUAUAGUUUUUGUUAUUAACGUGUCACAGUUUUUGUUAAUAAUGUGUUAUAGUUUUUGUUAUUGUUUUAUAGUUUUUGUAGUUAAAGUAUUAUAGUUUUUAUGUUAUUAACGUGUUAUAGUUUUUUAUCGACAUUAUGUAGUUUUUGUUAUUACCUUGUCACAGAUUUUGUUAUUGUGUUACAGUUUUUGUUAUUGAUGUGUUAUAGUUUUUGUAGUUAAUGUAUUAUAGUUUUUAUGUUAUUAACGUGUCACAGUUUUUGUUAGUAACGUAUUGUAGUUUUUCUGUUAACGUUCUAUUGUUAUGUUUAUUUGUUUUUAUAAUUUUUGUAUUAAAGAUUUAUAGUUUCUAUGUUUUUGAUUUGUUUUUAUAGUUUUGGUUUUAUUUGAUGGUUUUUAUGUUAACGUGUAGUUUGAUUUGUUUUUAUAGUUUUUUGUUUUGUUUUAUGUUAAUGUGAAGUUUUAAUUUUUUUAAUACUUUUUGUAGUAAUGAUUUACAGGGUUUUUUUGGACAGUUUUUAUGUUAAUGUGUUAUUUGUUUUGUUUUUAUAGUUUUUGUUUUAUUUUUUAGUUUUCAUGUUAACAUGUAAUUUGAUUUUUUUUUAGUUUUUUUUUUUUAAAUAGUUUUUAUGUUAACAUGUAAUUUGUUUUGUUUUUAUAGUUUUUGUCUUAAUGAUUUAUAGUUUUUGUUUUAUUUGAUGUUUUUUUAACGUAAAAUUAGAUUUGUUUUUCUUCCUGUUUUUGUAUUAAUCAUUUAUAGUUGUUUUUUAUUAGUUUUUAUGUUAAGAUGUAAUUUGAUUUGCUUUUAUAGUUUAUGUAUUAAUGAUUUAUAGUUUUUUAUUUUAUAGUUUUUAUGUUAAUGUUUAAUUUCAUUGGCUUUUAUAGUUUUUGUAUUAAUGAUUUAUAGUUCUUGUUUUUUUAUUACAUUUUAUGUUAACAUGUACUUUAAUUUGUUUUAUAGUUUGUUUUUUUAAUAGUUUUUAUGCUAACGUGUAAUUUCAUUUGUUUUUAUAGUUUUGGUAUUAACGAUUUAUAAGUUUUUAUGAUUUAGCAUAGCUCGGUUGGUAGAGUGGCCUUGCCAGCAACUUGAAGGUUGCAGGUUCGAUUCCCGCUUCCGCCAUCCUAGUCACUGCCGUUGUGUCCUUGGGCAAGACACUUUACCCACCUGCUCCCAGUGCCACCCACACUGCUUUAAAUGUAACUUAGAUAUUGGGUGUCACUAUGUAAAGCGUUUUGAGUCACUUGAGAAAAGCGCUAUAUAAAAUAUAAUUCACUUCACUUCAUUUUUGAUUUGUUUUUAUAGUUUUUGUAUUAAUGCUUUAUAGUUUUUGUUUUAUUUUAUAGUUUUUUUUUUAACAGGAAAAUUUGUUGUUUUUUUAUAGUUUUUGUAUUAAUGAUUUAUAGUUUUUUUAUUAUAGUUUUUAUGUUCAUGUUUAAUUUGAUCGGCUUUUAUAGUUUUUGUAUUAAUGAUUUAUAGUUCUUGUUUUUUUAUUACUUUUUAUGCUAACGUGUAAUCUGAUUUGUUUUCAUAGUUUUUGUAUUAAUGAUUUCUAAGUCUUUAUGAUUUUGAUUUGUUUUUAUAGUUUUGUCUUAAUGAUUUUUGUUUUGUUUGAUAGUUUUUAUGCAAACGUGUAAUUUCAUUUUUUUAUUUAGUUUUUGUCUUAGUGAUCAAUAGUUUUUGUUUUAUUUUAUUGCUUUUUACGUGUAAUUUGAUUUGUUUUGUAUAGUUUUUGUACUAAUGAUUUAUAGUUUUUUUCUAUUUGACAGUUUUAAUUAAACAGCCUCCCAAACUUGUCAGAAACCCCCCACAAUUGUCCCUAAUUUUUUUUAGUUUAUUAUAUAUUUUUUUAUGUUAUUAAUGUUGUAUUAUUUCCCAACAAGCCCUACUAGUCAGAAAAUGUACUUCAGAAUCACUUAAAAACUGUAACUUAACCUUUACAGCACAAGAGAAUAAUUUUAUUUAGAGUUUUAUUCUCUUUCCAGUUUGACACUAAUAUCGAACUAGAUGCAUUUUGUCCUAAGGCCAGCAGGGGGCGGCCUCAUCGUUGCCAUGACGACCUGCCUGCAUCUCACACGCCCUCUUUGUGCAGACAGUGAGCAAGACUCAACAUGUUACUGAGUGUCAAGUGUUUACAUGCCGUUGUUUGUGUGACCUUCUACCUUCCACACUUGGAGACACUUUUUCUUCACUUUUGUGCGAGGAAGGAAGGAAGGAAGGAAGGAAAGGGGACUUUAGUCACGGGAGUGAGGGGAUGAUGACGAAGGUGAUGGAGACGGACUAUCAUGGCAAUAUGUCAGCCAUCUUUACGGAAGUUGUGUUUGUGGAACGUGACCUUCCUUCCUCCUUCAACUCUUCUGGCAAGGCUGUCCACAAGGUUGCGGAGUGUGUUCAUGGGAAUUUUCCACCGUUCUUCCAAAAGCGGAUUGAGGGUGCUACGCUACAAGGAAAUCCCAGCCAGAUGACGUCAUUACCAUCGGCACAGUGAGUUCAUGUUUAUUAUGACUUUUAGAAAUGUAUAUAUUGUGAGAUAUCAGGUGUGCGUUUUCAAGCAAGCUACCUGACAAAGGUGAACUUUGACACAUUUUCUACAUUCCAGAUGCUCAAAGCUAAGUGGCUAAUUGGUAUGAUCAAAAUACUAUCAAUCAUGGAGCCAUUUUGAGCGAUAACGAGGAAGUCAGUCACAGAUCCCUUCCCCAUUCACAACAAAGCUAAUCGAGUAGACUUUGUGAGAGCCAACAGCGAUCACAUCGGGCAAAUGAUGACCCGUAUCCUUAUGUUUUUGAGCCCGAACACAACGAGGAUGAGCAAUGAGUUUUAGAAGCCGAAUGACACUUUAGCAUUAGCAGCAUUGCUGGGUACUAAACAUACAAACUAACCAUAAUAAAACACCUGUAAUAUUUCCACUCUGGCUGGGAAUCCCGUUUAGAUGAAGAAUCAGUUGAAAUUCUCACAAAGGCUUAAAAAAAAAAAAAGUUUCUGGGCUCCAUUUGGCCAUCUCGGGAAACGCGAAAGUGGACCGGCCUGUCGGUCCAUGGCCACAUUUGUCUACUAUCAGGUGAGAGGUGCAUGAAAUUACUGUUUUAUUACUCAAUGUAUUAUUACAACCCAGGAGACUUGUUUGAUUACUCAAUUUAUUAUUACAACACAGGAGACUGUUUGUUUGACAUCUAUUAAACAGACAAGAAGCAAGGAAUUAAACAGAGACCGGAUUCAAUAUGGCUCAACGAGGAGAAACGUGUAGACCUGUACCCUUGUACAACGUCGCCCCACACUCUGACGAAAGGUUGCCCGCCUCCUCUUUUAUUUGGACUUUCCCUGAUUACAUGGCAACAGCUGUUUCUAAGGGGAGAGGGGGUCGUAAACAGCCGUCGCCCUGGCUCACAAAAAAGUUCAAAGAAAAGAUGCCUGGAGCUCGCGUCAGGUCCUGCUUUCUCUCCGCUUUGUAGAUCCUGGGCCAAGACACGAUCUUACCGUGGAUUACGAUCGAUCGAAGAAACCGAACCUUCAUGUCGCUUCCCAUCCUACACGGUGGAGUUUUGGCGAGCCUUUUGCUUGGUAAGAUCAAAGACAG